rnacentral:tRNA from 1 species
GGUGAGAUGGCCGAGCGGUCUAAGGCGCUAGCUUAAGGCGCUAGUCUGAAAAGGCGUGGGUUCGAAUCCCACUCUCAUCA